UACAGAGGGUGCAAGCGUUGUUCGGAAUUAUUGGGCGUAAAGCGCGUGUAGGCGGUUUCGCAAGUCGGGUGUGAAAGCCCUCAGCUCAACUGAGGAAGUGCGCCCGAAACUGCGGAGCUUGAGUACCGGAGAGGAUGGUGGAAUUCCCCAAGUAGAGGUGAAAUUCGUAGAUAUGGGGAGGAACACCGGUGGCGAAGGCGACCAUCUGGACGGAUACUGACGCUGAGACGCGAAAGCGUGGGGAGCAAACAGG
rnacentral:rRNA from 1 species